UACGGAAGGCAGCAGUGGGGAAUAUUGCACAAUGGGCGCAAGCCUGAUGCAGCCAUGCCGCGUGUAUGAAGAAGGCCUUCGGGUUGUAAAGUACUUUCAGCGGGGAGGAAGGGAGUAAAGUUAAUACCUUUGCUCAUUGACGUUACCCGCAGAAGAAGCACCGGCUAACUCCGUGCCAGCAGCCGCGGUAAUACGGAGGGUGCAAGCGUUAAUCGGAAUUACUGGGCGUAAAGCGCACGCAGGCGGUUUUGUUAAGUCAGAUGUGAAAUCCCCGGGCUCAACCUGGGAACUGCAUCUGAUACUGGCAAGCUUGAGUCUCGUAGAGGGGGUAGAAUUCCAGGUGUAGCGGUGAAAUGCGUAGAGAUCUGGAGGAAUACCGGUGGCGAAGGCGGCCCCUGGGACGAGACUGACGCUCAGGUGCGAAAGCGUGGGGAGCGAAACAGGAUUAGAUACC
rnacentral:rRNA from 1 species